rfam:Tauraco erythrolophus contig97142, whole genome shotgun sequence.
AUAUUUGUGAUGUAAUUGCUAACUCAUAAGAAGUAAGAAAUCAAAAUAGAUUUACUCCUCCAAUGAGUUCUGUUUAUAACAUUUGGCUUCAAAUUA